rfam:Papio anubis isolate 1X1155 chromosome 2, whole genome shotgun sequence.
GUUGUUGCCAUGGUAAUCCUGCUCAGUAGGAGAGGAACCGCAGGUUCAGAUAUUUGGUGUAUGUGCUUGGCUGAGGAGCCAAUGGGGCGAAGCUAGGGUCUGUGGGAUUAUUACUGAACGCCUCUACGUCAGAAUCCCACCCAGGCGGAACAAU